UUAAGCGAAUAAGCGUACACGGUGGAUGCCUAGGCAAUCAGAGGCGAUGAAGGACGUGCUAAUCUGCGAAAAGCGUCGGUAAGGUGAUAUGAACCGUUAUACCCGACGAUAUCCGAAUGGGGAAACCCAGUAUCCAAUGGAUACUAUCAUUAACUGAAUCCAUAGGUUAAUGAGGCGAACCGGGAGAACUGAAACAUCUCAGUACCCCGAGGAAAAGAAAUCAACCGAGAUUCCCCUAGUAGCGGCGAGCGAACGGGGAGCAGCCCAGAGUCUUAAUCAAUAACAGUGUCAGGAGAACGGUCUGGAAAGUCCGGCAGUAAAGGGUGAUAGCCCCGUAUCUGAAGAUGCUGUUAUUGUGAACUCGACGAGUAGGGCGGGACACGUGUUAUCCUGUCUGAAUAUGGGGGGACCAUCCUCCAAGGCUAAAUACUCCUGAUUGACCGAUAGUGAACCAGUACCGUGAGGGAAAGGCGAAAAGAACCCCGGCGAGGGGAGUGAAAAAGAACCUGAAACCGUGUACGUACAAGCAGUAGGAGCCUCUUUAUGGGGUGACUGCGUACCUUUUGUAUAAUGGGUCAGCGACUUAUAUUCUGUAGCAAGGUUAACCGUAUAGGGGAGCCGUAGGGAAACCGAGUCUUAACUGGGCGAAUGAGUUGCAGGGUAUAGACCCGAAACCCGGUGAUCUAUCCAUGGGCAGGUUGAAGGUUGGGUAACACUAACUGGAGGACCGAACCGACUAAUGUUGAAAAAUUAGCGGAUGACUUGUGGAUGGGGGUGAAAGGCCAAUCAAACCGGGAGAUAGCUGGUUCUCCCCGAAAGCUAUUUAGGUAGCGCCUCGUGAACUCAUCUUCGGGGGUAGAGCACUGUUUCGACUAGGGGGUCAUCCCGACUUACCAACUCGAUGCAAACUGCGAAUACCGAAGAAUGUUAUCACGGGAGACACACGGCGGGUGCUAACGUCCGUCGUGAAGAGGGAAACAACCCAGACCGCCAGCUAAGGUCCCAAAGUCAUGGUUAAGUGGGAAACGAAGUGGGAAGGCUCAGACAGCCAGGAUGUUGGCUUAGAAGCAGCCAUCAUUUAAAGAAAGCGUAAUAGCUCACUGGUCGAGUCGGCCCGCGCGGAAGAUGUAACGGGGCUAAACCAUGCACCGAAGCUGCGGCAGCGACACAAAGUGUUGUUGGGUAGGGGGAGCGUUCUGUAAGCCUGCGAAGGUGUACUGUGAGGUAUGCUGGAGGUAUCAGAAGUGCGAAUGCUGACAUAAGUAACGAUAAUGCGGGUGAAAAACCCGCACGCCGGAAGACCAAGGGUUCCUGUCCAACGUUAAUCGGGGCAGGGUGAGUCGACCCCUAAGGCGAGGCUGAAAAGCGUAGUCGAUGGGAAACGGGUUAAUAUUCCCGUACUGGUGGUAACUGCGAUGGGGGAACGGAGAAGGCUAGGUUGUCCGGGCGACGGUCGUCCCGGUUCAAGCAGGUAGGCAGAGUGAUUAGGCAAAUCCGGUCACUUAAUGCUGAGAUGUGAUGACGAACCACCAAGGUGGUGAAGCAAUUGAUGCCCCGCUUCCAGGAAAAGCCUCUAAGCUUCAGGUUACCAACAAUCGUACCCCAAACCGACACAGGUGGUCAGGUAGAGAAUACUCAGGCGCUUGAGAGAACUCGGGUGAAGGAACUAGGCAAAAUGGUGCCGUAACUUCGGGAGAAGGCACGCUGGCGGUAGGUAAAGUCCCUCGCGGACGGCGCUGAAGCCAGUCGAAGAUACCAGCUGGCUGCAACUGUUUAUUAAAAACACAGCACUGUGCAAACACGAAAGUGGACGUAUACGGUGUGACGCCUGCCCGGUGCUGGAAGGUUAAUUGAUGGGGUCAGCCGCAAGGCGAAGCUCCUGAUCGAAGCCCCAGUAAACGGCGGCCGUAACUAUAACGGUCCUAAGGUAGCGAAAUUCCUUGUCGGGUAAGUUCCGACCUGCACGAAUGGCGUAAUGAUGGCCAGGCUGUCUCCACCCGAGACUCAGUGAAAUUGAACUCGCUGUGAAGAUGCAGUGUACCCGCGGCAAGACGGAAAGACCCCGUGAACCUUUACUAUAGCUUGACACUGAACAUUGAGCCUUGAUGUGUAGGAUAGGUGGGAGGCUUUGAAGUGUGGACGCCAGUCUGCAUGGAGCCAACCUUGAAAUACCACCCUUUAACGUUUGAUGUUCUAACCUAGGCCCAUAAACUGGGUCGGGGACCGUGUCUGGUGGGUAGUUUGACUGGGGCGGUCUCCUCCUAAAGAGUAACGGAGGAGCACGAAGGUUGGCUAAGCAUGGUCGGACAUCAUGCGGUUAGUGCAAAGGCAUAAGCCAGCUUGACUGCGAGAGUGACGGCUCGAGCAGGUACGAAAGUAGGUCUUAGUGAUCCGGUGGUUCUGAAUGGAAGGGCCAUCGCUCAACGGAUAAAAGGUACUCCGGGGAUAACAGGCUGAUACCGCCCAAGAGUUCAUAUCGACGGCGGUGUUUGGCACCUCGAUGUCGGCUCAUCACAUCCUGGGGCUGAAGUAGGUCCCAAGGGUAUGGCUGUUCGCCAUUUAAAGUGGUACGCGAGCUGGGUUUAGAACGUCGUGAGACAGUUCGGUCCCUAUCUGCCGUGGGCGUUGGAAGAUUGAGAGGGGUUGCUCCUAGUACGAGAGGACCGGAGUGAACGCACCACUGGUGUUCGGGUUGUCAUGCCAAUGGCAUUGCCCGGUAGCUAAGUGCGGAAGAGAUAACCGCUGAAAGCAUCUAAGCGGGAAACUUGCCUCGAGAUGAGUCUUCCCUGUCGCUUUAAGCGACCUAAAGGAACGUUUAAGACUAAGACGUUGAUAGGCUGGGUGUGUAAGCGUAGCGAUACGUUGAGCUAACCAGUACUAAUGAACCGUGAGGCUUAACCUG
rnacentral:rRNA from 1 species